rnacentral:rRNA from 1 species
AACCAGCUCUUCAAGUGGUCGGGAUGAUUAUUGGGCUUAAAGUGUCCGUAGCCGGUUUAGUAAGUUCCUGGUAAAAUCAGGUAGCCUAACUAUCUGUAUGCUAGGAAUACUACUAUACUAGAGGGCGGGAGAGGUCUGAGGUACUAUAGGGGUAGGGGUGAAAUCUUAUAAUCCUUGUAGGACCACCAGUGGCGAAGGCGUCAGACUGGAACGUGCCUGACGGUGAGGGACGAAAGCCAGGGGAGCGAACCGGAUUAGAUACCCGGGUAGUCCUGGCCGUAAACGAUGCAUACUAGGUGAUGGCCCGGCCAUGAGCCGUGUCAGUGCCGUAGGGAACCGUUAAGUGUGCCGCCUGGGAAGCACGGUCGCAAGGCUAAAACUUAAAGGAAUUGGCGGGGGAGCACCACAAGGGGUGAAGCCUGCGGUUC